rnacentral:rRNA from 1 species
CCCUUAGAUGUUCUGGGCCGCACGCGCGCUACACUGAUGCAUUCAACGAGUCUAAAACCUGCUCUGAUAGGGGUGGGUAAUCUUUUGAAUGUGCAUCGUGAUUGGGAUAGAUGAUUGCAAUUUUUCAUCUUCAACGAGGAAUGCCUAGUAAACGCAAGUCAUCAGCUUGCAUUGAUUACGUCCCUGCCCUUUGUACACACCGCCCGUCGCUCCUACCGAUUGAGUGGUUCGGUGAGGCUUUGGGAUCUGAGCGGAAAGAGCGUUUCGCUGUUUCUGCUCGGAAAACUCAGUCGAACCUUAUCAUUUAGAGGAAGGAGAAGUCGUAACA